ACCCAACAGUACCUCUCUUCACACAAUACAGCGUAAGUCCACCCGCUCAAAUCCUGGAUCUCUCCACCUCUGAAAUAGUCUAACCUAGAUGGCCGACCCCUGGCGGUGCAACCCGAAAUGACCUUGACCAUCAUAUCGGCACAGAAUUUAGCAUUGAGUUUGCCGGAUCUGUUAUGAGUGUUGACGACGCCGACUUUGACCGGGACAAAAGAUCAUAGUUCUUGCCAACUUCACGGAUGGGAGUUAGCCCAUCAGCUGCCCACUUUUCCGUACGGGAGUCAUAGCAUCUCAACUUGGUUGCACCGCGGGCAACGAGGUUGUGCUCAGUUGUGUUGACUGAGGGAAUGAGUUCAUCGACAUCGAUUUCUGCUUUUGGCAGAGGCCUGGAGACUGAAAUGUUAGAUGGAAGAAAGUAAAAAAAAUAAAGUGUAAAAGAGAAGGAUGGCACAUACCCGGGCAACGCAUGGGUGCUGAUAAGCAUCCCAGCAAGGGUGACCAGA
rnacentral:sRNA from 2 species